CAGACACCGAAUCUAGUGCAAGGAGCAGCUCACGUUCUCCAGUUAGCAGCAGAGAGAAGAAGACAAAGAAAUCGAAACGCAGUCGCUCAAGAUCAGUGGAAAAAUCUCAAAGGUCUGGUAAGAAGGCAAGCCGCAAACACAAGUCUAAGUCACGAUCAAGGUCGAGGACACCCAAUAAUCGUAAGCAUUAAGGGGAAAAAAUAUGUGGCAUCCUUGCCGUGAUCAGAAAUUCCAUGAGUUUUGGAGGCUUGUCUCAUUAUAGAGGCAUACGUGACAACUGUGUAGGUGUUUAUAUGUAUAUAGGUGUAAAUUUUUUUCCAAGUGCUGUCUAUAGUUCAGUACUUCAGGUUUUAUUUGUAUUGCAUUCUUCUGAGAUUAUUCACACUGUAAAAACAAUUCACUUUCAGUUGUACCAUUUUAACAUAAAACUUACACUAACUGUAGUUUGCUGUCAAUAAACUUUUCAGAUUGGUUUUGUUAAACAUU